GAUGAACGCUGGCGGCGUGCUUAACACAUGCAAGUCGAACGAAGCACUUUAUUUGAUUUCCUUCGGGACUGAUUAUUUUGUGACUGAGUGGCGGACGGGUGAGUAACGCGUGGGUAACCUGCCUUGUACAGGGGGAUAACAGUUGGAAACGGCUGCUAAUACCGCAUAAGCGCACAGCAUCGCAUGAUGCAGUGUGAAAAACUCCGGUGGUAUAAGAUGGACCCGCGUUGGAUUAGCUAGUUGGUGAGGUAACGGCCCACCAAGGCGACGAUCCAUAGCCGACCUGAGAGGGUGGCCGGCCACAUUGGGACUGAGACACGGCCCAAACUCCUACGGGAGGCAGCAGUGGGGAAUAUUGCACAAUGGGCGAAAGCCUGAUGCAGCGACGCCGCGUGAGCGAAGAAGUAUUUCGGUAUGUAAAGCUCUAUCAGCAGGGAAGAUAAUGACGGUACCUGACUAAGAAGCACCGGCUAAAUACGUG
rnacentral:rRNA from 1 species